AGAGUCAAUCCUUAAUGGAAACUUUCCACAGCCUCGGCUUUCUAAAAAUAUCUGCACAGCUGCUCAGAGGUGCAUGUAGAAAACCACAUGGAUAUACACGCACUUGGCCGAAUCUCCUCUCGAGACCCAUGCUUGGGGCAAGGAGGCUGGACCAGGAAGCCCAUGACGUGUGCUCCGGGUGAUUCUGUCCCAACUGCCGUGAGGUAAAGCUGCUGGGACAGCUGAGGGAAGUGUCAGCAUGUCUUAUCAGCAGAGCCCAUCCCUCCAGAAUGUCCAGGCCACUGUGUGUGCUGAUGGGCAUGGCAGCUGGCAGUGAAUUUGGGUGCGUUUUCAGAACAGCUUGCAGCACAGCUGCUCAGAGGUGCAUGUAGAAAACCACAUGGACAUACACGGGAACCCUUCAGAAGCCACAGCCCAAUGAGCCAGGGAGAUGUCAGGGGGCACGUAACCAACAACACCGCCGGCUGACUUCUGGUGAGUGUACUUCGUGUGCUGAAUCGAAUCGGCAUGUGCACAGCAUUCGGUCACAGCAACAGCAUCUAAACAGCCGAGGCACAGAAAGAGAGUCUUACAUAACUGGAUACACCAAGCAACAUGUACAAAACCAAAAAGGAGCUGGUCCAGUGCAGGAGCAGAACUCUCAGAGACAAAACAGCCCUGCCUCCUGCAGGCCACGGAGCUGCGAAUCAGGGCCAACUGAAGAGAGGAAAACGUACACGCUAGCUUCUGCAGCAAAGAACGUCAGAAUUACAUGAGGAAUCGCUUCAAAUGUAACCCUCCUUCAGGCUUUUCUACGUGCUAAAUUUGACUCCUUUCCUUCUUACAAGUGAUAGAACCUCAGUGUGCAUGCAAAUGCAUAAGACUGCACAUUUUCUUCCUGUUUUUUUUUUUUUGGUUGACAGUGAAAAAAAGUUCCUAUUUUUAUAACUCCUGCCCAGUCAGCACACGGAGGGCCCUUAAAAGGGGGUGGUGAUGAGUGUACAUUACAAGCAAUAAACUCCCCCUCUAUAGCA